GACGAACGCUGGCGGCGUGCCUAAUACAUGCAAGUAGAACGCUGAAGAGAGGAGCUUACUCUUCUUGGAUGAGUUGCGAACGGGUGAGUAACGCGUAGGUAACCUGCCUUGUAGCGGGGGAUAACUAUUGGAAACGAUAGCUAAUACCGCAUAACAAUGGAUGACACAUGUCAUUUAUUUGAAAGGGGCAAUUGCUCCACUACAAGAUGGACCUGCGUUGUAUUAGCUAGUAGGUGAGGUAAUGGCUCACCUAGGCGACGAUACAUAGCCGACCUGAGAGGGUGAUCGGCCACACUGGGACUGAGACACGGCCCAGACUCCUACGGGAGGCAGCAGUAGGGAAUCUUCGGCAAUGGGGGCAACCCUGACCGAGCAACGCCGCGGGAGUGAAGAAGGGUUUCGGAUCGUAAAGCUCUGUUGUAAGUCAAGAACGGGUGUGAGAGUGGAAAGUUCACACUGUGACGGUAGCUUACCAGAAAGGGACGGCUAACUACGUG
rnacentral:rRNA from 1 species